rnacentral:rRNA from 1 species
GACGGAGGAUGCAAGUGUUAUCCGGAAUCACUGGGCGUAAAGCGUCUGUAGGUGGUCAAAUAAGUCAACUGUUAAAUCUUGAGGCUUAACCUCAAAAUCGCAGUCGAAACUAUUAGACUAGAGUAUAGUAGGGGUAAAGGGAAUUUCCAGUGGAGCGGUGGAAAUGACGUAGAGAUUGGAAAGAACACCGAUGGCGAAGGCACUUUACUGGGCUAUUACUAACACUCAGAGACGAAAGCUAGGGUAGCAAAUGGGA